rnacentral:rRNA from 1 species
CAAGUCGAACGAGAAAGGUCUCUUCGGAGGCUGAGUAAAGUGGCGCACGGGUGAGUAAUACAUAGGUAAUCUACCUCUAAAACUGACAUAACUUCGAGAAAUCGAAGCUAAUAUUGGAUAAUAUCCUGAAGAUGUACAGUUUUCAGGAUUAAAGAUGGUCUCUACAUGUAAGCUGUCGUUUAGAGAUGAGCCUUUGUCCUAUCAGCUAGUUGGUGAGAUAAUAGCUCACCAAGGCUAUGACGGGUAGCCGGCCUUAGAGGGUGUACGGCCACACUGGGACUGAUACACGGCCCAGACUCCUACGGGAGGCAGCAGUGGGGAAUUUUGCGCAAUGGACGAAAGUCUGACGCAGCGACGCCGCGUGGGUGAUGAAGGUCUUCGGAUCGUAAAACCCUGUUAAGCAAGAUGAAGUGUCUAUUGCCGAAUACGUAAUAGAUUUGACAGUAUUGCUAGAGAAAGCCCUGGCUAACUCCGUGCCAGCAGCCGCGGUAAUACGGAGAGGGCGAGCGUUAUCCGGAAUCACUGGGUGUAAAGGGUGUGUAGGUUGCAGGAUAAGUCAGAUGUGAAAUCCAUUCGCUUAACGGAUGAACUGCAUUUGAAACUGUCCAGCUAGAGUAUAGAAGAGGAAAGUGGAAUUCCUAGUGUAGCGGUGAAAUGCGUAGAUAUUAGGAAGAACACCAGUGGCGAAGGCGACUUUCUAUUCUAAUACUGACACUGAGGCACGAAGGCUAGGGGAGCAAACAGGAUUAGAUACCCUGGUAGUCCUAGCAGUAAACGAUGGACACUAGGUGUGGGAGGUCUUUAUACCUUUCGUGCCGUAGCUAACGCGUUAAGUGUCCCACCUGGGGAGUACGGUCGCAAGACUGAAACUCAAAUGAAUUGACGG